rnacentral:rRNA from 1 species
GACGAACGCUGGCGGCGUGCUUAACACAUGCAAGUCGAACGAGUGGCGAACGGAUGAGCAACACGGUGGUGACCUGCCCUGCACUUCGGGAUAAGCCUGGGGAACUGGGUCUAAUACCGGAGAGUGGGGGAUGGGCCCGCGGUCUAUCAGCUAGUAGGUGGGGUAAAGGUCACCUAGGCGCGAUCUAUAGCUGGUCUGAGAGGCUGAUCAGCCACACUGGGACUGAGACACGGCCCAGACUCCUACGGGAGGCAGCAGUGGGGAAUUUUGCACAAUGGGCGCAAGCCGGAUGCAGCCAUGCCGCGUGUAUGAAGAAGGCCUUAGGGUUGUAAAGUACUUUCAGCGGGGAGGCGUUACCCGACGAAGAAGCAACGGCUAACUCCGUGCCAGCAGCCGCGGUAAUAC